AUACGGAGGAUCCGAGCGUUAUCCGGAUUUAUUGGGUUUAAAGGGUGCGCAGGCGGGAGAUUAAGUCGGCGGUGAAAUUUUGCAGCUCAACUGUAAAAGUGCCUUCGAAACUGGGUUUCUUGAGUGUAGAUGAAGUAGGCGGAAUUUGUGGUGUAGCGGUGAAAUGCAUAGAUAUCACGAGGAACUCCGAUUGCGCAGGCAGCUUACGAAACUACUACUGACGCUCAGGCACGAAGGCGUGGGGAUCAAACAGGAUUAGAUACCCUGGUAGUCCACGCAGUAAACGAUGAUUACUAGAUGUUUGCGAUACAAUGUAAGCGGCUGAGCGAAAGCGUUAAGUAAUCCACCUGGGGAGUACGUUCGCAAGAAUGAAACUCAAAGGAAUUGACGGGG
rnacentral:rRNA from 1 species